rnacentral:rRNA from 1 species
GACGAACGCUGGCGGCGUGCCUAAUACAUGCAAGUUGAGCGCUGAAGGUUGGUACUUGUACCAACUGGAUGAGCAGCGAACGGGUGAGUAACGCGUGGGGAAUCUGCCUUUGAGCGGGGGACAACAUUUGGAAACGAAUGCUAAUACCGCAUAAAAACUUUAAACACAAGUUUUAAGUUUGAAAGAUGCAAUUGCAUCACUCAAAGAUGAUCCCGCGUUGUAUUAGCUAGUUGGUGAGGUAAAGGCUCACCAAGGCGAUGAUACAUAGCCGACCUGAGAGGGUGAUCGGCCACAUUGGGACUGAGACACGGCCCAAACUCCUACGGGUGGCAGCAGUAGGGAAUCUUCGGCAAUAGACGAAAGUCUGACCGAGCAACGCCGCGUGAGUGAAGAAGGUUUUCGGAUCGUAAAACUCUGUUGGUAGAGAAGAACGUUGGUGAGAGUGGAAAGCUCAUCAAGUGACGGUAACUACCCAGAAAGGGACGGCUAACUACGUG